rfam:Felis catus isolate Cinnamon breed Abyssinian chromosome X, whole genome shotgun sequence.
GCCUGGGUGGCUCAGUUGGUUGAGCGUCCGACUUCGGCUCAGGUCAUGAUCUCACGGUUUGCGGGUUCAAGCCCUGCAUCAGGCU